rnacentral:rRNA from 1 species
UUGGAGGGCAAGUCUGGUGCCAGCAGCCGCGGUAAUUCCAGCUCCAAUAGCGUAUAUUAAAGUUGUUGCAGUUAAAAAGCUCGUAGUUGAAUUUCGGGAUUGGCGUGUCGGUCGUGCCUUACGGGGUAUGAACUGGCGUCGUCGAUUUCUCACCUUCUGGAGAAUCACGAUGCCCUUAAUUGGGUGUCGUGUGGAACCAGGACCUUUACCUUGAAAAAAUUAGAGUGUUUAAAGCAGGCAUUUUGCUCGAAUACAUUAGCAUGGAAUAAUAAAAUAGGACGGCUUGGUUCUAUUUUGUUGGUUUCUAGGAUCACCGUAAUGAUUAAUAGGGAUAGUUGGGGGCAUUAGUAUCCAAUUGUCAGAGGUGAAAUUCUUGGAUUUAUUGAAGACUAACUACUGCGAAAGCAUUUGCCAAGGAUGUUUUCAUUAAUCAAGAACGAAAGUUAGGGGAUCGAAGACGAUCAGAUACCGUCGUAGUCUUAACCAUAAACUAUGCCGACUAGGAAUCAGACGAUGUUAAUUUUUUAAUGACUCGUUUGGCACCUUACGGGAAAC